UUGAACGCUGGCGGCAGGCCUAACACAUGCAAGUCGAACGGUAACAGGAAGAAGCUUGCUUCUUUGCUGACGAGUGGCGGACGGGUGAGUAAUGUCUGGGAAACUGCCUGAUGGAGGGGGAUAACUACUGGAAACGGUAGCUAAUACCGCAUAACGUCGCAAGACCAAAGAGGGGGACCUUCGGGCCUCUUGCCAUCGGAUGUGCCCAGAUGGGAUUAGCUAGUAGGUGGGGUAACGGCUCACCUAGGCGACGAUCCCUAGCUGGUCUGAGAGGAUGACCAGCCACACUGGAACUGAGACACGGUCCAGACUCCUACGGGAGGCAGCAGUGGGGAAUAUUGCACAAUGGGCGCAAGCCUGAUGCAGCCAUGCCGCGUGUAUGAAGAAGGCCUUCGGGUUGUAAAGUACUUUCAGCGGGGAGGAAGGGAGUAAAGUUAAUACCUUUGCUCAUUGACGUUACCCGCAGAAGAAGCACCGGCUAACUCCGUGCCAGCAGCCGCGGUAAUACGGAGGGUGCAAGCGUUAAUCGGAAUUACUGGGCGUAAAGCGCACGCAGGCGGUUUGUUAAGUCAGAUGUGAAAUCCCCGGGCUCAACCUGGGAACUGCAUCUGAUACUGGCAAGCUUGAGUCUCGUAGAGGGGGGUAGAAUUCCAGGUGUAGCGGUGAAAUGCGUAGAGAUCUGGAGGAAUACCGGUGGCGAAGGCGGCCCCCUGGACGAAGACUGACGCUCAGGUGCGAAAGCGUGGGGAGCAAACAGGAUUAGAUACCCUGGUAGUCCACGCCGUAAACGAUGUCGACUUGGAGGUUGUGCCCUUGAGGCGUGGCUUCCGGAGCUAACGCGUUAAGUCGACCGCCUGGGGAGUACGGCCGCAAGGUUAAAACUCAAAUGAAUUGACGGGGGCCCGCACAAGCGGUGGAGCAUGUGGUUUAAUUCGAUGCAACGCGAAGAACCUUACCUGGUCUUGACAUCCACGGAAGUUUUCAGAGAUGAGAAUGUGCCUUCGGGAACCGUGAGACAGGUGCUGCAUGGCUGUCGUCAGCUCGUGUUGUGAAAUGUUGGGUUAAGUCCCGCAACGAGCGCAACCCUUAUCCUUUGUUGCCAGCGGUCCGGCCGGGAACUCAAAGGAGACUGCCAGUGAUAAACUGGAGGAAGGUGGGGAUGACGUCAAGUCAUCAUGGCCAUUACGACCAGGGCUACACACGUGCUACAAUGGCGCAUACAAAGAGAAGCGACCUCGCGAGAGCAAGCGGACCUCAUAAAGUGCGUCGUAGUCCGGAUUGGAGUCUGCAACUCGACUCCAUGAAGUCGGAAUCGCUAGUAAUCGUGGAUCAGAAUGCCACGGUGAAUACGUUCCCGGGCCUUGUACACACCGCCCGUCACACCAUGGGAGUGGGUUGCAAAAGAAGUAGGUAGCUUAACCUUCGGGAGGGCGCUUACCACUUUGUGAUUCAUGACUGGGGUG
rnacentral:rRNA from 1 species